rnacentral:rRNA from 1 species
UCAGUAACACGUAGUCAACAUGCCCAGGGGACGUGGAUAACCUCGGGAAACUGAGGAUAAACCGCGAUAGGUCAUUAUUUCUGGAAUGAUUGAUGGCCCAAAUCUAUAUGGCCUCUGGAUUGGACUGCGGCCGAUCAGGCUGUUGGUGAGGUAAUGGCCCACCAAACCUGUUACCGGUACGGGCUCUGAGAGGAGGAGCCCGGAGAUGGGCACUGAGACAAGGGCCCAGGCCCUAUGGGGCGCAGCAGGCGCGAAACCUCUGCAAUAGGCGAAAGCCUGACAGGGUUACUCUGAGUGGUUUCCGCUAAGGAAACCUUUUGGCACCUCUACAAAUGGUGCAGAAUAAGGGGUGGGCAAGUCUGGUGCCAGCAGCCG